AUGCACGAAGCAUCUUCCCAGGCAGGGAGCAUAUCUAUCUACCUAUCAACAUAUGACUUCUUUCUAUUAUUGCCAAUCACUAUCAUGCCAAACUCCGUCAAGAAACCAGCGCCCUGGAUUGAUCCACGGAGCGCCACCACAUCGGAUAUGCCUUCCAGGCAGCGUCUUCCGCAUCGUUUUCAUCCGAUCGUGCGGCACAUCCGUCUCUGCAGGCAAAUGGAAGCAGUGGUUAGGUCCCUUUCAUUGUGGUUGCAGGAUAUCAUUAUUAUUCAGGAACAUGAAAUGUGGACCGAAGAAAUAGAAAAAGCAUCCAGUUCUUUUCGGGAAAUGGAAAGAUGA
rnacentral:rRNA from 1 species